GACAAACGCUGGCGGCGUGCCUAAUACAUGCAAGUCGAACGCAGUGGGGACGGGUGAGUAACACGUGGGUAACCUCCCAUCAGAGGGGAUAACCCUUGGAAACAGGUGCUCAACCGAUACUGAUGGAUGGACCCGGGGUGCAUUAGCUAGUUGGUGAGGUAACGGCGCACCAAGGCCACGAUGCAUAGCUGGUCUGAGAGGAGGAUCAGCCACACUGGAACUGAGACACGGCCCAGACUCCUACGGGAGGCAGCAGUGGGGAAUAUUGGACAAUGGGCGAAAGCCUGAUGCAGCCAUGCCGCGUGUAUGAAGAAGGCCUUCGGGUUGUAAAGUACUUUCAGCGGGGAGGCGUUACCCGCAGAAGAAGCACCGGCUAACUCCGUGCCAGCAGCCGCGGUAAUAC
rnacentral:rRNA from 1 species